ACGGAAGGCAGCAGUGGGGAAUAUUGCACGAUGGGGGAAACCCUGAUGCAGCGACGCCGCGUGAGUGAUGAAGUAUUUCGGUAUGUAAAGCUCUAUCAGCAGGGAAGAUAAUGACGGUACCUGACUAAGAAGCUCCGGCUAAAUACGUGCCAGCAGCCGCGGUAAUACGUAUGGAGCAAGCGUUAUCCGGAUUUACUGGGUGUAAAGGGUGCGUAGGCGGUAUGGCAAGUCAGAUGUGAAAGACCGGGGCUCAACUCCGGAGCUGCAUUUGAAACUGCCAGACUGGAGUGCAGGAGAGGCAGGCGGAAUUCCUAGUGUAGCGGUGAAAUGCGUAGAUAUUAGGAGGAACACCAGUGGCGAAGGCGGCCUGCUGGACUGUUACUGACGCUGAGGCACGAAAGCGUGGGGAGCAAACAGGAUUAGAUACCCUGGUA
rnacentral:rRNA from 1 species